rnacentral:misc_RNA from 1 species
UUUCCGUAGGUGAACCUGCGGAAGGAUCAUUAAUGAAACGCGCCCUCUGGGGGUUGUGCUGGUGCCUCGGCGCAAGUGCACGCUCCCUUAGGCGUCCAGUCCCACUCACACCUGUGCACGAACCUGUCGGACGGGGGUGGCGCCUUGUGCGCCCUCCGGUCUGGCCCUUUCACAUCAGCUUAUGACCGUAUGUCGAAUGCAUCACUGCGCACGCGCAACCGAAAUACAACUUUUAACAACGGAUCUCUUGGUUCUC